rnacentral:lncRNA from 1 species
CGGAGUAAAACACAGAAAGAGUGAUCCCCCACUUUCUUCUAAUUUCUCCUCUUAAUUCCUUCUAACUCAAAUAUCUUAUUAUUCCAUUGAUCCAACCCAUUCACUUCGGUUCAACUUAUUGACCAUUUUCAUCUCCACCUAGAGAACAAGGGAAUACAUUUCAAGUUUUCAAGUUUUGGUAAUCAGGCGCCUACCUGCAGAACAAAGGAAUACAUUUAGAAUUUCAAGUUUUGGUAAUCAGGCGCCCACCUGGAGAACAAGGGAAUACUUUCCAAGUUUUUAAGUUUUGGUAAUCAGGCGCCCAUCUGGAGAAUAAGGGAAUACUUUUCAAGUUUUAAAUUUUGGUAAUCAGGCGUCCAUAUGAAGAACAAGGGUUCUUCUCCUUCCCCUCUUUCAUCUGCAAAUUCAAAUCUUCUCUUUAAAAUUUCACCAUUUGGUCUUCACUUCCACACCAUGAACAUCAUGUAAAACUGUAAUUAUCCAUUUUUUUUGUCGAGUAAUUCAAUUAUUUAAGCAAUGAUAGAACAGUGAGACGCGGAAUUUAAGAGGAUCCAUGCGAUUGGGAUUGCCGCCGGCCGCGGCGAAAUGGAUGCUUCACCGGCGAAGUUUCUAUUCGGAUUCCUCUUUGCUUCCAUAAUACUAUGGAGUAUUUUCGUGUAAGUCAAUCUCAGUCAAACUACUACUGCUUAUCAGUUGACCGUUGCUAUGUUACAUGUAGCUUGUGUUGUUUAUAAUGUAAUUGAAUUGAUUGAUCUGAUAUGUGCAAUGUGUUGUUUUGUUGAAUUGUACAAUGGAAAU